CCUACGGGUGGCUGCAGUGGGGAAUUUUGGACAAUGGGCGAAAGCCUGAUCCAGCCAUUCCGCGUGAGUGAAGAAGGCCUUCGGGUUGUAAAGCUCUUUCGCAAGGGAAGAAACGAUGCAGUCGAAUAAACUGUGUUAAUGACGGUACCUUGAUAAGAAGCACCGGCUAACUACGUGCCAGCAGCCGCGGUAAUACGUAGGGUGCAAGCGUUAAUCGGAAUUACUGGGCGUAAAGCGUGCGCAGGCGGUUUUGUAAGUCAGAUGUGAAAUCCCCGAGCUCAACUUGGGAACUGCGUUUGAAACUACAAGACUAGAAUAUGUCAGAGGGGGGUAGAAUUCCACGUGUAGCAGUGAAAUGCGUAGAGAUGUGGAGGAAUACCAAUGGCGAAGGCAGCCCCCUGGGAUAAUAUUGACGCUCAUGCACGAAAGCGUGGGGAGCAAACAGGCUUAGAUACCCCAGUAGUC
rnacentral:rRNA from 1 species